UACGGGGGGGGCAAGCGUUGUUCGGAAUUACUGGGCGUAAAGGGCUCGCAGGCGGCCGACUAAGUCAGACGUGAAAUCCCUUGGCUUAACCAAGGAAUGGCGUCUGAUACUGGACGGCUUGAAUUCGGGAGAGGGAUGUGGAAUUCCAGGUGUAGCGGUGAAAUGCGUAGAUAUCUGGAGGAACACCAAUGGCGAAGGCAGGUCUCUGGGCAUUAACUGACGCUGAGGAGCGAAAGCAUGGGGAGCGAACAGG
rnacentral:rRNA from 1 species